rnacentral:rRNA from 1 species
AACGCGAAGAACCUUACCAGCUUUUGACAUGUCUCGUAUGGUCGCCAGAGAUGGCUUCCUUCAGUUCGGCUGGCGAGAACACAGGUGCUGCAUGGCUGUCGUCAGCUCGUGUCGUGAGAUGUUGGGUUAAGUCCCGCAACGAGCGCAACCCACGUCCCUAGUUGCCACCAUUCAGUUGGGCACUCUAGGGAGACUGCCGGUGAUAAGCCGAGAGGAAGGUGUGGAUGACGUCAAGUCAUCAUGGCCCUUACGGCCAGGGCUACACACGUGCUACAAUGGUCGGUACAGAGCGUCGCCAAGCCGCGAGGUGGAGCUAAUCGCACAAAACCGAUCGUAGUCCGGAUCGCAGUCUGCAACUCGACUGCGUGAAGUCGGAAUCGCUAGUAAUCGUGAAUCAGAAUGUCACGGUGAAUACGUUCCCGGGUCUUGUACACACCG